rnacentral:rRNA from 1 species
CCGUAGAAAUACGGGACUCUUUGGACACUGGUGAACAGGUGGUGCAUGGUUGUCGUCAGCUCGUGUCGUGAGAUGUUGGGUUAAGUCCCGCAACGAGCGCAACCCUCGUUCUAUGUUGCCAGCACGUAAUGGUGGGAACUCAUGGGAUACUGCCGGGGUCAACUCGGAGGAAGGUGGGGAUGACGUCAAAUCAUCAUGCCCCUUAUGUCUUGGGCUUCACGCAUGCUACAAUGGCCGGUACAAAGGGCUGCAAUACCGUGAGGUGGAGCGAAUCCCAAAAAGCCGGUCCCAGUUCGGAUUGAGGUCUGCAACUCGACCUCAUGAAGUCGGAGUCGCUAGUAAUCGCAGAUCAGCAACGCUGCGGUGAAUACGUUCCCGGGUCUUGUACACACCGCCCGUCAAGUCAUGAAAGUCGGUAACACCUGAAGCCGGUGGCCCAA